AACAAGGCGUACCUGCGGACCUGCGGAGGGAUCAUUAACCUUUCAAAUCAGGGUGCGGCGCGGCCCCCGAGGAGCGGAAACAAUCCUUGGGAGGUAUGCGGGGGCUUCGAGCCCCCCAUUUACGCACGCACGACUGCCAUCCUUACUUUACGAGCACCUUCUGUUCUCCCUCGGCGGGGCAACCUGCCGUUGGAACCGAAUAAACUCUUUUUGCAUCUAGCAUUACCCGUUCCGAAACAA
rnacentral:misc_RNA from 1 species